UAGCCUAAGCCAGUAUUACCUUAGGCUACUUCUGUAGCGUUUAGCA
rnacentral:ncRNA from 1 species